rnacentral:rRNA from 1 species
UAUAAUAUGAGAGUUUGAUCUUGGCUCAGGAUGAACGCUGGCGGCGUGCCUAAUACAUGCAAGUCGAACGCACUUUCGUUAAUUGAUUUUGAGAUGCUUGCAUCGAAGAUGAUUUUAACUAUAAAGUGAGUGGCGAACGGGUGAGUAACACGUGGGUAACCUGCCCAGAAGUGGG